AACACAGCAAAACCUGAAUUGAACCCAGGUUUGAAAGCCAGGACUGCUCUGUUCCCAAUUCUGACACUAGAUCACAAUUUAACCUUCUGAGCAUGCUGCUUUGCCACACUGGAAAGGCCUUGCCAAACAGGAGGCAGAGAGGGAAGCAUCAGUGUUGUUCCAGCAGCUUGAAAACAACUGGAGUGGCUGGAACUGCUCUGUGAUUUCAGUUGUGGCAGAUCAACAUCUUUAUAGAGAAAGAUGAUUUACUGCCUCAAAACCAGAAGCACAGAAUAGGUGGGAGCAGCAACACUGCUCUCAUAACAUGCUUCAUCAACGUCUAGAAAGAUCAACCUGACAGAAGAACUCAAUGCCUUGUUAUACGUUGAGAGAUGGCAUGGUGGUUCCCAGCCACAUCUUGUGUGGAGGAAACACAAGCACUAGGAAGAGUGGAAAGACACCACCAGAAGGUCCUGAACAGCUCAUCCCAGAGCUUUCCAACAUAAACCUUCAGCCACUCUUGACUGGCAGCAGGUCCAAAGGAAUGACCUCAGAAGUGAAGGCUUCUACAUCACUUCAGCCAUCCAGGAUCCCUUACAUUCUCACUCUCCUGAUUAUUUAUACUGUUGUAAAACCAGAAGCAUGGAAAUUGCUGUUCGCUCCCUUUCACUUCCUUUCCCUGCAACCCUACAGAAAUAGCCGAGUUACAUAAGACAGAAACACCCACAAAAUAACAAUGAAAACAGAUGUGUCAAAAACCAGAAAAACAAACGUGCAUGUGCCUACUGUGUGUGCCAGUUCUAAGUAAAGUGCUCAUCCAGGUUAUGAACAGCGCAGUGAACUACCGUAAUAGUCCCAAACCCAAAGCGAGGGUCCGGUAGUUAAAGAGCUCAGACCUAAGGGUUUGGUGGUGUGGGGUAUAUAUUGUUUGGGGUUUUAUAUUCCCUUUGCCUCUCUCAGGUUUGCUUCUUCCAGACCAAGAAUUUCAGAGCAGUUCACAAAAAUGGCAAUUUUCAAGAAAGCUCCAUGCUAUGUUCUGUACCCACACUUCUCUGGAAACCACCAGGAGCUGUUCACCUCACUUA